UACGUAGGGUGCGAGCGUUGUCCGGAAUUAUUGGGCGUAAAGAGCUUGUAGGCGGUUUGUCGCGUCUGCUGUGAAAAUCCGGGGCUCAACCCCGGACUUGCAGUGGGUACGGGCAGACUAGAGUGUGGUAGGGGAGACUGGAAUUCCUGGUGUAGCGGUGAAAAUGCGCAGAUAUCAGAGGAACACCGGUGGCGAAAGGCGGAUCUCUGGGCCUUACCUGACGCUCGAGGUGACGAA
rnacentral:rRNA from 1 species